rnacentral:rRNA from 1 species
CACGCCCUAAACGAUGUCAACUAGGUGUUGGGUGGGUAAAACCAUUUAGUACCGGAGCUAACGCGUGAAGUUGACCGCCUGGGGAGUACGGCCGCAAGGUUAAAACUCAAAGGAAUUGACGGGGACCCGCACAAGCGGUGGAUGAUGUGGAUUAAUUCGAUGCAACGCGAAAAACCUUACCUACCCUUGACAUGUCCAGGAGCCCGGAGAGAUUUGGGUGUGCCCGAAAGGGAACUGGAACACAGGUGC